AGUGAACGCUGGCGGCAGGCCUAACACAUGCAAGUCGAGCGGCAGCGGGUCCUUCGGGAUGCCGGCGAGCGGCGGACGGGUGAGGAAUGCGUCGGAAUCUGCCUUUUUGUGGGGGAUAACGUAGGGAAACUUACGCUAAUACCGCAUACGACCUACGGGUGAAAGUGGGGGACCGCAAGGCCUCACGCAGAAAGAUGAGCCGACGUCGGAUUAGCUAGUUGGCGGGGUAAAGGCUCACCAAGGCGACGAUCCGUAGCUGGUCUGAGAGGAUGAUCAGCCACACUGGAACUGAGACACGGUCCAGACUCCUACGGGAGGCAGCAGUGGGGAAUAUUGGGCAAUGGGCGAAAGCCUGAUCCAGCCAUGCCGCGUGUGUGAAGAAGGCCUUCGGAUUGUAAAGCACUUUUGUCCGGAAAGAAAUCAUGUCGUCUAAUACCCGGCGGGGAUGACGGUACCGGAAGAAUAAGCACCGGCUAACUUCGUG
rnacentral:rRNA from 1 species